AGUUAUUAUCAUCAACUUUAAAAAUAUAAUUUUUUUUGCACAAAAAGUCAACACACAACGUGUCAAAAUAAUGUCACUCUCGCUUGACAGUCGUUCAAGUGCCAGCAUGGCGGAUCGAAAACAGACAAGAGAAGUCAUAACAAUAUUAUCAUUGUGUAUAUUAUGGUAUUUAGUUAGCGGUACAAACAAUGUUAUUGGUAAAAUGUUACUUAGCGAUUUUCCAUAUCCAAUUACUGUUACAAUGGUACAAUUAUUAUCAAUCACUGUUUAUAGUGGUCCAUUUUUAAGUUUGUGGGGUGUUAGGAAGUAUGUGGAUAUAUCGUGGAGUUAUUUUUUUAAAUUAAUAAUACCAUUAGCAUUUGGUAAAUUUUUUGCAUCUGCAUUUAGUCAUUUAAGUUUAUGGAAAGUACCUGUUUCUUAUGCACAUACGGUGAAAGCUACGAUGCCGUUAUUUACAGUUGUAUUGUCACGCAUCAUUAUGGGCGAAAAACAAACUUUAAAAGUAUAUUUAAGUUUAAUACCAAUUAUAACUGGUGUAGCAAUUGCAUCUUUAACAGAAAUAAGUUUUGAUUUAAUUGGAUUACUAAGUGCUCUCGCGUCGACUAUGGGCUUCUCAUUACAAAAUAUUUUUUCAAAAAAGGUGUUACACGAUACUGGGAUACAUCAUUUACGAUUACUUCAUUUAUUAGGUCGGAUAUCGCUUUUUUUGUUUAUACCAGUUUGGUUAUUUAUUGAUGCUGGCAACGUCAUUAAAGAUCCUGCUUUGACUUCAGGAGAAUAUAAAGUAAUUGCUUUAUUAUUAACUGACGGUGUUUUAAAUUGGUUACAAAAUAUAAUCGCGUUCAGUGUAAUUUCAUUAGUAACACCAUUAACGUAUGCUGUAGCAAGUAAUAGUAAACGAAUAUUUGUGAUAUCAGUAUCAUUGUUGGUUCUGGGUAAUCCAGUUACAUGGUUGAAUAUUUUUGGAAUGAUCACAGCAGUUUUUGGAGUUUUAUGUUAUCAAAAAGCCAAAUAUGAUCAAAGAAAAGUAGAAAAAACAAAAACAUUAUUACCAUUUAGUCAACAAAAUUGGCAAAAGAAUACUGGUUACUCAAUACUACCAUCCAAUGGCUACAUCAAUAAUAACGACCACAGAAACAGCAGUAAUGUUCAUAAUCAACAGCAGAAUGGAUAUGCGAAUGCUACAUUAAAUGAAUUAUAAUUUGAACAUUUGAACUGGUUGUCUGGGUACAUGGAUUUUUUAUCUUGAUAAUAACUUGUUUAUACGAAAUUGGAAAGAAAUGAUGAAACAGCAGAUGGAGACAAUGAAAGCACCAACAAACAGUAGUGGUUAUUUUUUUGAAGUGGAUAUUUAAAAAUGUUUCACUCAUUAAAGGUUGCUUAUAAAACAUUGUAAAUGAAACAAAGUGUGAACUACUAGACCCGAAGAUAAUGAAGUGUUAACGUUUUUUGAUGAGCGAAAGGCGUAAUCACGUGUUGUGAAAGUUGAAAUUCAUAAAAGAAUAAACAGAGAUACACAAGAAUUAGAAAGACUUAAUCAAACGCCCCGACUACGCCUAUGUUUAAAAUACAAUAAACGAUUUUAGGAUUGUGGAUCCAAUUAUUAAAUUAAACAAUAGAGUAGUUGACUAUUAAAGAUGUAGAAACAAAUAGUUUUGUAAAAACGAAAUUAUUUUAUUGGGCGAUGUUGUAAAUAAAAUUUAUUUUUUUAUACUCAUGGAAUUUCAUUCUGAUAAUUUUUACAUAGUACUUUUAAUUAUUUACAAUUUUUAACAGAAAAUAUUCUUUAUUUAAAUCCUCCUUUUAUUUAUAUUUAUAGAAUGCUACAAGAUUGCAAUUUCUAAAUGGAUACAUCAUAAAAUUAUGCAAUGAUUUUAAACAUUUCAAUAAAUUAAUAUUUACUGCUUAAAGUAAUUUAUAAGGAUGAAUAAAUCUACAAGCCGCGCCGCUAUAUCAUCUCGAAAGUUUAUGUGAUAAUGUGUCCACUUGAGAAAUACAGGUUCGUGUUUAUAUUCGUUAUGAUAAAAAAAAUUAGAAUAUGUCAUAAAAUCCAAACUGAAGCAAUUUAUUUAUACACGCAAUUUUUCAAUAGCAAUAUUUUCAUUACAAAUGAUAAUAAAACUUUUUAAUACCCCUAAAUUUGAUUGCUUAAAAGUUAUGUCAGAAAGCUUUACCUAUAAUUUUACUACAAAUUUGUGAUUAAUUUUUGCUUAUUCAUGUUUAAAAUAUGACCGCUAAAUUAAAAAUUUAAAAAAUCAGUCAACUACCCUGUUGUAAAUUUAGGCUAAAUAAACUUUUGAUAUUUUGUAGAACGAAAGUGCGUUACUUUGUUCAAUCAAGCAUAUUUACAGAAAUAAGUGAUAUAACUAAUGAGACUUCAGUCUAAUGAGUUAGUAUUUUACCAUGACAUCAUAUGCGAAAGUUGAAUAAGUGAAUGUUGAAGUAUUGCAUAACAUUUAUAUCCCAGAACAAGAAGUUAAAUUUUAUUGGUGUGUUGUAGUAACACAACGGAUCAACACGUUGUUUUCAA